AUGGCCAUGCUCUCAAGGCAGGCAUGGAGGCUUAUUCAAGUUCCAGACAGCCUAUGUGGUAGGUUACUUAAAGCACGGUAUUUUCCUCACUAUCAUGCACUUGAAGCCGAGGCUACAGAGGGUAUCUCAUAUGCAUGGAGAAGCUUGCUGAAGGGACUUGAUCUUGUUCGCGAGGGGUACAUUUGGCGUAUUGGGGACGGUGAAAAUGUUAACAUCUGGACGGACCCCUGGAUUCCGCGGCCGUGGUCGAGGAGGGUCGUUACCCCGAGAGAAACAACCUAUUGCAGCAUGUUAGUGAACUCCUGGACCCAGCUACUGGCCAAUGGGACGAACGCCUCGUCCAAGAUACUUUCUGUGCAGAUGAUGCAAGGUAUAUCCUGCAAAUGCCUUUGCGUGAGGGAGUGCUAUACUUCAUAG
rnacentral:rRNA from 1 species